GGGUGCAUCACCUCUACUUGACUUGCGUGACGCCAGAACCCGUGGAGUUCCUAGUGGGUUAAGGUGUCUCACGCGCUCGGAUUUGUAUUUCCUCCCCUUUAAUAUCCUUAUCCCGGUCUCCCCAUUCGCCACCUGCUACAUUAGUGGCAGUGGAUCACGUCAGGUGUUUAUUGUGAAGGAUAUAUUGGUUAUGGAGUGAAUAACGAUAGAUACAGUAAAGUGAAGUGAAGUGAAUACUUGAAAAAUUACCUUUAUUGCUGAGAAAAAAAGGCAAAAAAAAAAAUAGAAGUUGUGUGUGAAGUGAAAAACAGAGAAAUGUAGUGAAAGCAAGGAAGAGAAAGGCAUAUCUCUACUACAACUACUACUACUUCUACUACUACUACUACUACUACUACUGCAGAAGUCAUCAACAGCAUUACCAUCAGCAGCAGGGGAAUCACGUGGCUUUCCGAUUAAGAAAAAGCUGGAGAUUAUCUACCCGGCAGGAGAAAGAAAGGAUGAUCUAUUAGAAGGCUUAUGGAUGCAGUGAAAGAAGAUGUGGUUGUAAAUGGUGUGAUUGAGGAAGGAGCAGGAGACCGAGCGGGUUGGAGAAGACUGAUCCUCUGCGGCGACCCCUAAAGAGAACAAUCGAAGUAAGAGGAAUCAAGGAAAUAAGAAAUGUUACAGUGGCUAGUACAGUACUGGAAGGUCUUUGUCUCUGUCUGGAUAAAACUUUAUGAAAUCGAGCAACCGGAGUUUUAGAAAUAUAGAAAAUACGACUGCUGCAUUAUUAUUCAGUAAAUUAAAAUCCAUGUUUUGGUGGUAAUUCUCGGGCUGUUAAGUAUGAUGCUUCAAUUUUGAAUAAAGUACGGUCAUUUGCAACAGUUGAUCAACAUAAUGCACUCCUUUUCACUGUGUGUUGUGUCUUAAAUCCUCUAAGCUGAAGACUGUCUCCUAACAAAACCCGACUGAUAGAUUAUUAGCAAGGCACUAAAACACAAAGGAAUUAGGACCGAUGGAAAAGUGUGUUACUUGUUGAAAUACUGUUGCAUUCUUGAACUGUAUAGUUUUUUUUUUUCAGUGUUCAUUUGUUCCUCAUUUUCAAAAUUUAUCAAGCAUUGUUUAUUCGGUCAAUAGCUUUUUCUUACAAAGCAUAUCUCCUAUCCUCACAUAGAAGGCACAUUAACCGUGCAAGUUCCUCAGAUUAGAAUGAAGGAUAAUAUUAUGUACACUGUGCCUUGAAAUGCCCGAAGGCGCGCAUCCCCUCCUUCCCUUCCUUCCCGCACAGCUUCUUUGCCUUGCUCGGGAACACACGGCUUGUCUCCUCACCGCUGCUCACUCAUCAGUGCGGCCAAGUUGUGUUAGCUUCUUCUUCACCUGGGGCACGUGCAGUGAGCAGUGCUUCCCUUCCGCCACAGCGCCUCGGCUCCCCAGGCCAUACUCAGGGUUCUGCUUUGGAAGACUUGGAGAAUAACAUAUUCAUCCUCAAGACGAGGGAGUGGUUGUGAGGAAAUUAUUGAAUUUGUGAUAAAUACGUUAGAAGUUUGGCUGUUAUAGUUUCUUUUCAAGACUGAUAGUAUUUUGUUCACUGACAGCAAAAAGAGUAAUGUAGCAUUUUAAGUCUUUUAGUUCCUUUAGUUAUAUUUUAGUUCUGUUCAAUAGUCCUACAUAAAAAAAGUCGAGUUCUCAAAUAAAAAAUGUCAUUAUAUCGUAACUACUGAAAGAUUUGAGAGAUGCUGUGCUUAUUGGUGAAAUCUGUACUGGUUUUUUGUUGUGUGUGUGGAGAAAAGCAUCACGUGAGUACAGUCAAAGCUAAGUAGUAAAAACGCUUAUUAGAACGUACCAAGGGAAGGUUUGUUGGUUAGCAUAAGCUUUGUUUAGAAUGUAUAAUGUUUGGUCACUUUGUUUUAUCCUUUGUAAUACUUGGCCAGUUGAAGGCAGUAUAUCCCGUACCACUCUAACUUAAAGUUGCUGCAAUGGACGACUUAAUUGGUGUUUAGCGACGCAAAAACUUUGCUCGUGAUCUACGCAAGACCAUCCAUCGCUAUUUGUUAUAUCCACUACUAAAUACGUUUAAUAAUCCCUUCAUACCUUUGUCAGUACCUGCUAAUAUUGAACAAAUCACGCUCACCUGCAUUUAAAAGAUAUCAUACAAAAGUGUACUUACAUAACUGACCAACCUUCAUCAAUACUUGCUAAUACUACACAGAAAAACGAU